UAUGAGGUCCUUGUACACUACACCGUUUCUCAAGAAAGCACCUGAACUGAGUACUUGUGGACCAGCCCAAAGACAUGAGGAGAGUGACUGUGAGUGGGAACCUCCGCCCCUCCCAUGGAGAGAAGACGGUGCCUCAAGUCUCACACGACUGAGAAGACAGCGAGAGACUGAGGAGGGGAGAGAGGCAAGAGCAGCUGUGUCUGGUGAAUCAGAGCUUCCCCAGGUGGGGCCUGUGCAAAUGCUGGAACUCCAGAUAAUACUGGGGAUCAACGAACAGACACUGCCUUUAAAUUUUGUAAAUGUAAG
rnacentral:lncRNA from 1 species